CCGCAGGGCGCGCGGCGCCCUCCCCAGAGCAGCGAGCGUUGCUGCGCAUGCGCGGGGCAGAGCGGCCGGGACACUGAGGGGAAGGAGCGAGCGCCGGGCUGACGGGCGGCUGGUUGGCGUGACGGUUCAACAUGGCUCUUCCAUUCCCAACUGUUUGACCACCUCUUCUUCAGGGGGCGAAGAGGGAUGAGGAAUGAGGGUUGCCAUCACUCCAUAACACUUUGUCUUUGCCGCUGUUCCCCUGCUCCUACGUGGCGUCCCACCAAAUUGAUACAGCCCUUCCCAGGCUGCUUCAUCCUUGGUUUUGCCCAGGGGCUGCCAUUUCUGCCAGAAAAUGGUGGAAUCCCCUCCAGAGGCAGCACCGUCCUUCAGGGCAUCUCCACUUACCGCAGUGUGGGGUCCUCCAUGGAUGCAGUGUGGAUAUCUGCCUUGGCAUGGUUCUCUGUGGCUCAUGGGAGGACAACCUGCUUCACCGUGGUCUUCUUCAUGGUCUGUGGUAGUUAGGGUCCGGCGACCAGAAGAUAUCGCGUUGUACGGAAAGGUAGAGCCUCCCUCCCUAUAACCAAGAGACAUGGACCCUUAACGUGAGCAGGUGGAAGUGACGAAGUAGACUCAGACUAUAUAAGGCAAUGUAAACUAACAAUAAACGCCAUUUUGCCUCCACCA